rnacentral:rRNA from 2 species
AGCAUGUGGUUUAAAUUCGAAAGCAACGCGAAGAACCUUACCAGGGCUUGACAUGCCACUGACCGUGUAGAGAUGCAUCUUUAUCCUUCGGGGUACAGCGGACACAGGUGGUGCAUGGUUGUCGUCAGCUCGUGUCGUGAGAUGUUGGGUUAAGUCCCGCAACGAGCGCAACCCUUGUCUUUAGUUGCCAUCAUUAAGUUGGGCACUCUAAAGAGACUGCCGAUGACAAAUCGGAGGAAGGUGGGGAUGACGUCAAAUCAUCAUGCCCUUUAUGUCCUGGGCUACACACGUGCUACAAUGGUCGGUACAACGAGAAGCCAACUCGCGAGAGCGCGCCAAUCUCAAAAAGCCAUCCUCAGUUCGGAUUGGAGUCUGCAACUCGACUCCAUGAAGUUGGAAUCGCUAGUAAUCGCGGAUCAGCAUGCCGCGGUGAAUACGUUCCCGGGCCUU